UACGUAGGUGGCAAGCGUUGUCCGGAUUUAUUGGGUUUAAAGGGUGCGUAGGCGGCCCUGUAAGUCAGUGCUGAAAUAUCCCGGCUUAACCGGGAGGGUGGCAUUGAUACUGCAGAGCUUGAGUAAAGUUGAGGUUGGCGGAAUUGACGGUGUAGCGGUGAAAUGCUUAGAUAUCGUCAAGAACACCAAUUGCGAAGGCAGCUCACUACGCGAAUAUUGACACUGAGGCACGAAAGCGUGGGGAUCAAACAGG
rnacentral:rRNA from 1 species